UUAAAAUGAUUAAGUGUUAUAAGUAUAGGAACUUUAAUUUAAAAAUAAAAAGUAAAUACACUUUAAACAACUUAGAUAACGCAAUUGAAAGCCAUGAAAUAAAGUCAAGCUUCUUUUGCGGGUAUAAUACAAUAAUUCAUAAACUCGGCGGCAAAGUUUGGAUUUGAACAAGGUUUAGGUUUGCGUGGAAUUUUACAUUAAAAAUCCUUAUGUGUAACUUAUGGAAAAAACUAAGGUCUUACCACAUCAUCUGGUCGAGCGAUUUGUCGAUCUACCGACUACAAGCCAGAUUUAUGCACUAAAAGUUUGCUUAAAAUAUUACAUAAUCUUUGAGGGUCAACCAGACAUUUUGUUUCCUGUAAAAGAGCACACCCAGAAAUAGUUAUUAUCCGGCUAAGGAUCAGCAUGGAUGACAGCAGCAUGCACCACAAGGUUCAACUUCAUCAAAAUUCCACUCACGCCUAAGGGUUGGUCCAUGUUAUGGGUCACUACUUACAUAUCUUUAAAAAGUUGCAAUCCCAAUUGAUUUCACAGCAAAUUUAUUCACCUCGUCACGCCAUUCGCUUUGAGUAUGCAACGUAAAGCUGAUUUACUGGCAAACCAUAAAGCUUGCUUAGUUAAAAGAUAAAUAAAAUAUGGCUCAAUCAAUCGGGAUGAUGACAAAAAUUGCUAUUCACCUAGACCAAUUUUGAGGAAAUAUAUUUCCACAUAUUGACCGACCCAAUUGAUCACAUUCGAACAUUAAACAUCUAUAAUGAGGAAGAAGCUCAACUGCGCGCUGCAUUUGAAAGCCAUUUACAAUUCGAGCAGCCGUUUACAAAUUACAUAUCAUUGCUUCUAAUAACCGGUUCACACCCAGGCGCACUCACGUCAUUAAAUUGGCGCUUAUUUCAGUGAUUUAUCAUCGUCCUACACAUAAUUACUAUUAUUAUUAUUAUUAUUGUUUUUAUCUUCGAAUUUGAGGCAGGCAAUUAAAAUCAUAACCAUACAAAAUGAAAACAAACAGUGUAACAAAAAGGAAAUAGACAAAAUUUUGUUUUGAUUUUGUAUGUUGAUUUGGUAUUUCGCUGGCGCAAUUGAAUGUGUAAUUUAUGCAAAUAUUUGAAGCUGCUUUGGUUAAGCCCUUUGUUUAACAUUGUUACUAGUCACUUGUAAGGCAAUAAAUAUAAUUUAAUAUAUGUAUGCAUGUACAUAAGUACUAAAAAUUGAUAGAGAUUUGAGUUUAUUAUAAAAAAUUAACUUGAUUUUCAAUAGACCGCAAGCAGUUAUUUUGUAUUUAAAUGCAAAUGAAACAGAUUAUUAAAACAAGUUAUCGAUUACAACCAGUUUUUAUGCACACUGACAAAAUUCUGCUAUUUCGGAGAUGAAAAUAAUUUGAAUAAUUUGACAUUCAUAAUUUAUUCAAUUUGCAUUUUUACAACCAGUAGGCCCGUUUUACAUUGAAGUAUUGUUAAUAAUUUAAUAAAAACCGUUUGUAUAUAGAGUAGUCUAAUUUGUAACGCAACCGGAUUUUUAUCUGACCAAGGACUUACAACUCGCAGCAUUCAACAUUAUUUUGGACAACAAACCGAUUACUUACCGAUCCAAACAAGCUCGUUUCCUCGGCCUAUCGUUACGUGACUUCGAUGACAGUUAACUUAUUGCUGUCCCCCAAGCAGAGUUUGGAUAAUCGUUACAACAACAAAAACAUUUAGAUAAAAAUAAUAAUCGUUGCAGCCUUAUUGCCCUUGCCUGCUGAACUUCUCGCACAGACGAAGCUUAAUUUCAAUAAAGUACCAGAUGCCGCAAAGAUCAACUUUCAAUCAAGUGAUAUCAGCUUUUGUUAAUAACAGCUGGGCACAAGCUUGUUCCAGGCAACGAGAGGAGUUUCUAUACAAGCGCACAGUUCACUCUUUUUUUAUAGCUCAUUCUAAAAUUCUCUGUUCUUAAGAGAUGUUAUAACAUAUCAUUAGAGGCGUGUUCAUUAGAAAGAAAAAACAAUUAAUUGUAUUUGGUCAUUAAAAUUAA